CCUACGGGAGGCAGCAGUGGGGAAUAUUGGACAAUGGAGGAAACUCUGACCCAGCAACGCCGCGUGAAUGAUGAAGGUCUUCGGAUUGUAAAGUUCUUUUCUAAGGGAAGAAGAAAGUGACGGUACUUAAGUAAUCAGCCUCCGCUAACUACGUACCAGCAGCCGCGGUAAUACGUAGGAGGCGAGCGUUAUACGGAAUGACUGGGCGUAAAGAGUGCGUAGGUGGUUUGUAAAGUUAGUAGCGAAACUCCAAGGCUCAACCUUGGAACUACUACUAAAACUGUUGGACUUGAGUGCAGGAGAGGCGACCGGAAUUCCUAGUGUAGCGGUGGAAUGCGUAGAGAUUAGGAGGAAUACCAGUGGCGAAGGCGGGUUGCUAGACUGUAACUGACGCUGAGGCACGAAAGCGUGGGGAGCAAACAGGAUUAGAUACCCGAGUAGUC
rnacentral:rRNA from 1 species